rnacentral:ncRNA from 1 species
CAGCGAGGACGACCUCGCCGACGUCAUCGACAGGGCGGUGACGGCGCCG